rnacentral:rRNA from 1 species
UACGUAGGGUGCAAGCGUUAAUCGGAAUUACUGGGCGUAAAGCGCGCGUAGGUGGUUCGUUAAGUUGGAUGUGAAAUCCCCGGGCUCAACCUGGGAACUGCAUCCAAAACUGGCGAGCUAGAGUAUGGUAGAGGGUGGUGGAAUUUCCUGUGUAGCGGUGAAAUGCGUAGAUAUAGGAAGGAACACCAGUGGCGAAGGCGACCACCUGGACUGAUACUGACACUGAGGUGCGAAAGCGUGGGGAGCAAACAGG